rnacentral:rRNA from 1 species
UCGAGAAUUUUUCUCAAUGGGGGAAACCCUGAAGGAGCGACGCCGCGUGGAGGAUGAAGGCUUUCGGGUUGUAAACUCCUGUCAUUUGGGAACAAGGUGCACCGGUUAACUGCCGGAGUAUUGAUAGUACCAGAAGAGGAAGAGACGGCUAACUCUGUGCCAGCAGCCGCGGUAAUACAGAGGUCUCAAGCGUUGUUCGGAUUCAUUGGGCGUAAAGGGUGCGUAGGUGGCGUGGUAAGUCGGGUGUGAAAUUUCGGAGCUUAACUCCGAAACUGCAUUCGAUACUGCCGUGCUUGAGGACUGGAGAGGAGACUGGAAUUUACGGUGUAGCAGUGAAAUGCGUAGAGAUCGUAAGGAAGACCAGUGGCGAAGGCGGGUCUCUGGACAGUUCCUGACACUGAGGCACGAAGGCCAGGGGAGCAAACG